rnacentral:rRNA from 1 species
UACGAAGGUCCCAAGCGUUGUUCGGAAUCACUGGGCGUAAAGGGUGCGUAGGCGGCGCGGAAAGUCAGAUGUGAAAGCCCCGGGCUCAACCCGGGAACUGCAUCCGAUACUCCCGCGCUAGAGGAUUGGAGAGGAGUCUGGAAUUCACGGUGUAGCAGUGAAAUGCGUAGAUAUCGCGAGGAACACUCGUGGCGAAGGCGAGACUCUGGACAAUUCCUGACGCUGAGGCACGAAGUCCGGGGGAGCAAACAGG